rnacentral:lncRNA from 1 species
CUUGUAGUAGAAAUGUAUAGCCUUGGACAUAAAGGCUACGGCAAAUAGCAAGCGGGAUCACAUUUUUUGCUAUCUGGGAUCCCAUCCCUGCAUUGAGGUAUGUUUUCUGACCCAUACCUCAAGCCAGCUCCAUUGUGUCGUAAUGUAACCAUGAUUGCGUUCCGACACCAGCGCAGCUCAGUGUAAACAAGCAUAAGGUAGAGUCGGAACCUGCUGGCUAGUUAUCUAAUUACUUGAUACCUGCAAUCUAAAUUACAGUACAACCAUUAAAAACUACAUUUGCCACACUUACCCUCUGGUAUUUUUUAUUUAACUAGGCAAGUCAGUUAAGAACAAAGUCUUAUCAACAAUGAUGGCUUACCGGUGAACAGUGGGUUAACUGCCUUGUUCAGGGGCAGAAUGACAGAUUUUCUUUUUUACCUUAUCAGCUCGGGGAUUUGAUCCGGCAACCUUUUGGUUACUGGACCAACGCUCUAACCACUAGGCUACCUGAUGCCCUAAACUGUUGUCUGAAAUGCAUUUAUUCUCGAAGGUGGCCAAAUUACGGUUUUCAAAGGAAUAAUCACUGCACUGGUCUCCCAAACAUCUGUCAACCAUUUUUGACACCAUUGGUUGCCAAGUAUUAACCGUCAACACGCACCUGCGCUGUGCAGAAUUUAUGGGAUGCUCGAGCUAGUAAAACACACACCACUCUUUAAAAAAUGUUUUAUUCAACCUUUAUUUAACUAAGAAAGUCAGUUAAGAAGAAAUGCUUAUUUACAAUGACGGCCUACUCCAGCCAAUCCCUAACCCGGAUGACGCUGGGCCAAUUGUGCACCGCCCUAUGGGACACCCAAUUAGGGUUGCAAAUGUAACAGUGUAGGUUCCGUCCCUCUCUUCGCCCCAACCUGGGCUCGAACCAGGGACCCUUGCACACAUCAACAACUGACACCCCCCGAAGCAUCUAACUAGCCAUUUCACAUCGGUUACACAAAGGAUCGGAAACUUUCCGGUAAAUUUCCAGAAUUAUUCCGGAAAUUUUCCAUGGGAAGUUAAGCCCUGGAAUUUGGGUAAUUUUGCUAAAAUUCAUCAAAUAUUUUAGCUUAACAGUGAACCUUUUUUGUGGGAUACACAAGGCAAUUAUAGGUCUUGUGGCAUAUUUUGGUUAAACCCUCUGCGUGCACAGUGCACUCUUCCAUCACAUGUACAGCGGAUUCUCAAGAUCUUGCACACUAAUGAGAUGCUAUUGAGCCCACACUACUACACUGUCUGAGCCAACGACUACAUGCUUUCUGGAAAAUGCCACGGGCACUAUGUGAUGUGUGGAGACAUUUCACUGCAGCUAAUGUAGAAGGAAAGCUGUGUACAUUUGCAAAUACAAACCAAAUCAUAUGUGAAGAAUGCAACAAUGAUGCAGAAUAAUCUGGCCAAGUGCAUAAAGUUCCCUCAGCACUCACAACCUCUGACAAAAGUCCCUAUACUUCUAUUUGAGGUGAAAAUGAUGAAUCAGACACCUUAUCGAUAGCAACAGCUCAUGGUCCUCCUGGAAUGUCUUGCUCGAGCUGUGUAUGCAACUGGUUCACCUCUGAUGCUCAAAGACCAUGUGUAUUGGAAGAGAUUUCUGAAUGUUCUUUGCUCAGCAUACACACCUCCAACCAGACAUGCUUUAUCUACUAAUUUGCUGGAUGCAGAGUUCAAGUGAAGGUCAAGCAAAUCAUAGCGAAAGCAGUCUGUAUUGCAAUCAUCUCUGAUGGGUGGACGAAUGUUUGUGGGCAAGGAAUAAUUAACUACAUCAUCUCCACCCCUCAACCAGUAUUCUAUAAGAGCACAGACACAAGGGACAACAGACACACCAGUCUCUACAUUGCAGAUGAGCUGAAGGCAGUCAUCAAUGACCUUGGACCACAGAAGGUAUUUGCACUGGUGACAGGAAAUGCUGCGAACAUGAAGGCUGCUUGGUCUAAAGUGGAGGAGUCCUACCCUCACAUCACACCCAUUGGCUGUGCUGCUCAUGCAUUAAAUCUACUCCUCAAGGACAUCAUGGCACUGAAAACAAUGGAUACACUACAAGAGAGCCAAGGAAAUGGUUAGGUAUGUGAAGGGUCAUCAAGUUAUAGCAGCAAUCUACCUCACCAAGCAAAGUGAGAAGAAUAAGAGCACUACAUUGAAGCUGCCCAGCAACACCCGUUGGGGUGGUGUUGUCAUCAUGUUUGACAGUCUCCUGGAGGGGAAGGAGUCUCUCCAAGAAAUGGCCAUGUGGACAGCCCCAUCAGGAGGAUCCUCCUGGAUGAUGUACUUUGGGAGAGAGUGGUAAGCAGCCUGAAACCUAUAGCAGUAGUCAUUGCACGUAUUGAGGGAGACAAUGCCAUUCUGUCUGAUGUUCAGACUCUGCUUGCAGAUGUAAGAGAAGAAAUCCGUACUGCCCUGCCCACUUCACUGUUGCUCCAAGCAGAGGAAACUGCAGUUCUGAAAUACAUCAAAAAGCGUGAAGACUUCUGCCUGAAGCCCAUAUACGCCGCAGCGUACAUGUUGGACCCCAAGUAUGCUGGCAAGAGCAUCCUGUCUGGUGCAGAGAUCAACAAGGCCUAUGGUGUCAUCACUACCGUGUCUCACUACCUUGGCCUGGAUGAGGUCGAGGUUCUUGGCAGUCUGGCGAUGUACACUUCCAAGCAAGGGUUUUGGGAUGGAGAUACAAUAUGGCAGUCGUGCCAACAUAUCUCAUCAGCCACCUGGUGGAAGGGACUUUGUGGAUCUGAGGCUCUUUCCCCUGUUGCCUCCAUCAUCCUCCAAAUCCCAGCAACAUCAGCCGCCUCAGAGCGCAACUGGUCCUUGUUUGGGAACACGCACACCAAAGCACGCAACAGGCUGACCAAUACAUGGGUUGAAAAAUUGGUAGCCAUCCUGGCAAAUUUGAGGCUUUUUGAGCCUGACAAGGUUGGAAAGUGACAGUGAAGAUGAGGCCUCAGAGUCUGAUGUUCAAGAGGUGGACAUUGAGGAGGUCCAGGGAGAAGACAUGGAAGCCUGAGAGGAAGACAACCAAAGCUUUAGUUUCUAGACUAUCAUUUUACAGAUGUAUGUUGAAAACGUUUUUGGGAGAUGCGAUGGAUCACUGGGGAUCAUUCAAUAUUCCCUUUCUUUUGUUGUUCAGUGAAAUCAUCCCAUGUGAAGAGUCAACUCAUUUAAUUAAAGUUCAAUUCGUAACUAAA